rnacentral:rRNA from 1 species
AGCAUUAUACCGUGAAACUGCGAAUGGCUCAUUAAAUCAGUUAUCGUUUAUUUGAUAGUACCUUACUACUUGGAUACCUGUGGUAAUUCUAGAGCUAAUACAUGCUAAAAACCCCGACUUCGGAAGGGGUGUAUUUAUUAGAUAAAAAACCAAUGCCCUUCGGGGCUCCUUGGUGAUUCAUAAUAACUUCUCAGAUCGCAUGGCCUUGCGCCGGCGACGGUUCAUUCAAAUUUCUGCCCUAUCAACUUUCGAUGGUAAGGUAUUGGCUUACCAUGGUUUCUACGGGUAACGGGGAAUUAGGGUUCGAUUCCGGAGAGUUAGCCUGAGAAACGGCUAACACAUCCAAGGAAGGCAGCAGGCGCGCAAAUUACCCAAUCCUGAUACAGGGAGGUAGUGACAAUAAAUACUAAUACAGGGCUCUUUUGGGUCUUGUAAUUGGAAUGAGUACAAUUUAAACCUCUUAACGAGGAACAAUUGGAGGGCAAGUCUGGUGCCAGCAGCCGCGGUAAUUCCAGCUCCAAUAGCGUAUAUUAAAGUUGUUGCAGUUAAAAAGCUCGUAGUUGAACCUUUGGCCUGGCUGGCAGGUCCGCCUCACCGCGUGCACUUGUCCGGCCGGGCCUUUUCUUCUGGAGAACCGCAUGCCCUUCACUGGGUGUGUUGGGGACCAGGACUUUUACUUUGAAAAAAUUAGAGUGUUCAAAGCAGGCCUUUGCUCGAAUAUUACAGCAUGGAAUAAUAAAAUAGGACGUGCGGUUCUAUUUUGUUGGUUUCUAGGACCGCCGUAAUGAUUAAUAGGGACAGUCGGGGGCAUCAGUAUUCAAUUGUCAGAGGUGAAAUUCUUGGAUUUAUUGAAGACUAACUACUGCGAAAGCAUUUGCCAAGGAUGUUUUCAUUAAUCAGUGAACGAAAGUUAGGGGAUCGAAGACGAUCAGAUACCGUCGUAGUCUUAACCAUAAACUAUGCCGACUAGGGAUCGGGCGGUGUUAUUAUUUUGACUCGCUCGGCACCUUACGAGAAAUCAAAGU